UACAGAGGGGGCAAGCGUUGUUCGGAAUUACUGGGCGUAAAGGGCGCGUAGCGGCCGCCUAAGUCAGACGUGAAAUCCCUCGGCUUAACCGGGGAACUGCGUCUGAUACUGGAUGGCUUGAGUUCGGGAGAGGGAUGCGGAAUUCCAGGUGUAGCGGUGAAAUGCGUAGAUAUCUGGAGGAACACCGGUGGCGAAGGCGGCAUCCUGGACCGACACUGACACU
rnacentral:rRNA from 1 species